UGCAACGGCCGGAGCUGGGCCAAUCUGAAGCCAGGAGCCAGGAGCUUCUUCCAGAUCUCCCACAUGCAUGCAGGGGCCCAAGGAGUUGGGCCAUCUUCUACUGCUUUCCCAGGCCAUAGCAGAGAGCUGGAUUGGAAGAGGAGCAGCUGGGACUAGAAGCAGUGCACAUAUGGAAUGCCACUCCAUGCCAAUGUGUGUCCUGUUGCCAGUGAGGAGUGUGCCUGUGCCUGGCGCUUUGACCCAGAAGUGCACCCGCAGGUGCCGCCACUUCUGCCCUCGAUGCACUGGUGGGAGUCAGAGCCAUGUCUGCUCCUUCCCAGAGCCUUGAGGAGCCGCCUUCAACGCUGGUGGCUGAACCUGAGGAGACCCAGGGCCCCCCCAGGCUCAGGCCGGGAUCAGACUGCACACACAGAGGAGAAAGCAGAAGCUUAGAGAAAUGCCAAGAAUCCCUCAGUGCCCUGUUCCAGCCUGCCCCAAGAUUCUGACACCUCACAUCCCUGGUACACAGUUGGAAUUCAGCUUAUGCAGAACUAACAAUGCACUCACUGUUGGAUCUUGGGACAGGAACUGUUGGUUAUAGAAAGGUCUGUUUACAGCAAUAAAGGUAGGAGGGCCAAGAAGGGAUGUUUAAGAGAAUCAGCAUUAAUGAAGCACUUUCAGUGGUCAGGCUUCUUAAUGUACCAUUGUCUCAUUUCUAAAUAACAACACAAGGAGGGGAAGCAAGAGUUUUAUUUAAUUAUACAACAUUGUCCUGUCUAAUCCUCUUCAAAACUCUGUGAGGAAGGUACCACUGAUACCCUUUUAAAUAUGAGUUAAAGGAAGUGGGAACCAGCCCUAGGCCAUAUAGAUAUCAGUGAAGUUCCAGUUUAAAUCCUGCUGUGCUUGCCCCUCCUGGGCUGCAGGGUGUGGGCUAAUGUGAGAGGUGAGUGUGUGAGGAGGGUCCUGGAGGUGCAGUGCAACUUGCCUGCUGGGAGUGUCUCUGCAGGGCCAAAAGCCUUGACCUUUCAGGGUUGCCUGGAUUUCAGCUUGGGCUGUCUGGAGUUGAGAUUCUGAGGGCAGGAGUGUGGUGGGUCUUGCCAGUUCCCGCCUUCCUUCUCUGAGCAAAAAAGUA